UCCAAACCAACAAAAUUAAUGCCUCGCAGAUGUGAAGAAAUCAUGAAAAACUGUGGUUAUACAACUAAAUACUAGUUUAGUGAUUCACAGGAUUGCUAAAAAAGCAGUUUGAACAUAAAAUUAUUAUGUUCGAACUGCUGAGUUUAUAGCGUCAACAGCAGAUGCUAUUAUUGUGAACACCCCCUUUUCUACUUUUUUUACUAAUAGCCCAGUUUCAUAGCCUUAAGAGCGUACAUAUCAUGAAUGCUUGGUCUUGUUGGAUUUGUGAGAAUCUACUGAAUCUACUGGUACCUUGUUUCCCAUGUAACAAUAAGAAAUAUACUCAAAACCUGGAUUAAUCUUUUUAGUCACAUAGCACUACUAUUAUUCUGAACACUACUGUAAAGCAGUAAUGGACAUUGCACUUUGGGAAACUUAGCUAAGUUGCCGCCAUCAUGCUUCACCUGAAAGUUGUAGCUUUACAAGAAAGCUGAUUCAGAAUGGAAAGACCCAUGAACUUAAAGAAUACAGCACGCAUUCUGAAAAAAAACUUUGACAUUAGGUGACGAGAUAUUUCUGUCUGCUUAAAUGUCACAGAGAAAUGGACAAACAAUAACACACUAUUGUUAUCAGUGCUGACUCACAAGCACCGGUGGAUUUCAACGGCUCUUUUAAUUGGCAACUACAGGAGUGAUGUCAUCUUUCCAGCCUAUUGCAUUGCAUCACUGGAAAUUCGUAUCGGACUGUGUCUAGAUAGAAGAAUGUUGUACUAAAUCAUUCAGCCAGUGUCUGCAAGUCUGAUGCUAUAAUCAACGAGGUUUUGUACACGUACAGUCUAACACUAUUUAGUAGUUGUGAUUUCCACAGUAAUGAGCAACUGGGGCUAUUUAAGAUAUGUAUUACAUGCUGCAUAUGGAAAACUAAUUUGUCUCUUUCUGAAAUAUCCAAACACUACAGAAUGUUUGUUUUGUAAUUGUGUGAAACAGACUGCACAGGUCCAAAACAGUUAUUGUGGGUAUGUUUAAUUUGUUGUAUGUUAAAGUAGAAUCCCCCCCCCCCCCCAACCGAGGCCCAGUUUGUAGAUAUUUUGGGUGGGGGGGGUCAUCUUUUCACUCAGGAGAACUCUGUGGAUUAUUUUGUUUUGAA